rnacentral:rRNA from 1 species
GACGAACGCUGGCGGCGUGCUUAACACAUGCAAGUCGAGCGAUGAAGCUCCUUCGGGAGUGGAUUAGCGGCGGACGGGUGAGUAACACGUGGGUAACCUGCCUCAUAGAGGGGAAUAGCCUUCCGAAAGGAAGAUUAAUACCGCAUAAGAUUGUAGUACCGCAUGGUACAGCAAUUAAAGGAGCAAUCCGCUAUGAGAUGGACCCGCGUCGCAUUAGCUAGUUGGUGAGGUAACGGCUCACCAAGGCGACGAUGCGUAGCCGACCUGAGAGGGUGAUCGGCCACAUUGGGACUGAGACACGGCCCAGACUCCUACGGGAGGCAGCAGUGGGGAAUAUUGCACAAUGGGGGAAACCCUGAUGCAGCAACGCCGCGUGAGUGAUGACGGUCUUCGGAUUGUAAAACUCUGUCUUCAGGGACGAUAAUGACGGUACCUGAGGAGGAAGCCACGGCUAACUACGUGCCAGCCGCCGCAGUAAGAC